AAAAAAUUGAUCUUGAUUAUGCCAGUUGGUUGGGUCAGAAUCAGAUCCCAAUGACAUUGAUCUUCACUAAAUGUGACAAGCGGAAGAAGAAAAAGAAUGGAGGCAAAAGACCAGAAGAAAAUGUCAAUGAUUUUCAGGAAUUGAUUCGAGGUUUCUUCCAAUCAGUGCCUCCAUGGAUCAUGACCAGUAGUGUCACCAAUCAGGGUCGUGAUGAGAUACUUCUCCAUAUGGCACAGCUUCGUAACUACUGGCUCAAGCACUAGUUCUGAGAAACAUGACAUCCUGUCGUUAGAGCAGAUAUGCGUUUCCAGAUACACUUGCUUGAUUACCAGUUAAUGUGGUUCUCAAUUUAUCUAUAUACCAUGGUGUGCCAUUUGCCCAAGUACCUACAACAAGGCCUAAAGCUAGUGACAAGAAAAAUGGAUAAAGAAAACCAUUUAGAACAACGCUUGAUACUGCACAACACCAUGCUUGCAUACUCCCAGCCCUGUACUAUUGUUCUAAUGAAGUUUGGUUUGGAUUUUUACAAAUGGCUAUUAUCACCCGAAAAUCAGUAAUGAUAUUCUCAUUGAAACACUUGUAUACUUCCGAAGUUCUUUUGUCAUUGAUUUUAAAUAACCUAUGUAAGAUUUUUCCCUCUCCUCCGAGGUAUCACCUCAUGGAACAUGUUCACUUUCCAUGAGCGUUCACAACACCCUUACUUUUAGCAGGCACACCGCAAAUUUCUUUUUGUGGCUGGGGAUGAGCUGAAGAAUCAAAAUGCCAUGCAAGGAUGUAGCCGGAAAAGAGCACCCGUGUAAAAUCUUUUUUAACAAUUUUCUCUUUAUACGACAGUGAGAAGAAUGAGAUAUCAGAUAUUGUUUCAA